rnacentral:rRNA from 1 species
UCUGAAUCUGCGAACGGCUCCGCAAACCAGUUGUAAACUAUAGCAAGCAAGCACCCCGGGCUCGCUCACGCGGGUCGCAGGGGGGCUAAUAGGGAUAACCCUGGUAAUUCUGAGGCUAAUACAAGAACGUAAGACCUGACCGACUGGGAAACUGGGAGGUUGGGAGUCGCGUGAGGCAUCAUGCAAACUUACAACGGGAAUGGGUGCGCGACUCGACCACCAUACCAAACGGUUCUCGCAAACGGGUAGCUUUCCUUCGGGGGGGUUGCUGCAGUAGGCUUGAUCCGGGUGGCUCUUGCUGUGUGCUUCUGACCUAUCAACUAGAUGGCAGCGUAACGGACAUGCUAUGGU